rnacentral:rRNA from 1 species
AUGAACGCUGGCGGCGUGCCUCAUACAUGCCAGUCGAGCGAACAGAUGAGGAGCUUGCUCCUCUGACGUUAGCGGCGGACGGGUGAGUAACACGUGGAUAACUUACCUAUAAGACUGGGAUAACUUCGGGAAACCGGAGCUAAUACCGGAUAAUAUAUUGAACCGCAUGGUUCAAUAGUGAAAGACGGUUUUGCUGUCACUUAUAGAUGGAUCCGCGCCGCAUUAGCUAGUUGGUAAGGUAACGGCUUACCAAGGCAACGAUGCGUAGCCGACCUGAGAGGGUGAUCGGCCACACUGGAACUGAGACACGGUCCAGACUCCUACGGGAGGCAGCAGUAGGGAAUCUUCCGCAAUGGGCGAAAGCCUGACGGAGCAACGCCGCGUGAGUGAUGAAGGUCUUCGGAUCGUAAAACUCUGUUAUUAGGGAAGAACAAAUGUGUAAGUAACUAUGCACGUCUUGACGGUACCUAAUCAGAAAGCCACGGCUAACUACGUG